AUUGAUUGUUAUGCCCUUCAAGCAUGAAUUAGCACCUUAUGGUUGGGUAUGUUGACUCAGAAUAUUCAAGAUAAGUCCAGCCACAAUCGAUUCCGCAGGGAUCAGGCUCCCGCCAUGAAAAUGACAAUAGCAUCUUGGAGAGGAAUGCACUGCGGACAUGCCCACUUGACAACUAAAUAGAAAGAUGGAAAAAGCCCACUUCACCCUACUAUUCUCACUAAUUUCAACUAAAAUUUACGAAGAAAAUGCAUGGAGUCCAUAUUUCAGUACUCUAAGAAGUAAGAGACAGUAGGCAUGUUGG
rnacentral:sRNA from 1 species